rnacentral:lncRNA from 1 species
AAUUUUUCAAAAUUUGAAAUCUUAUCCCCAAAACUUCAUUUCUCAACUCUAAACUCUAAACCCUAAACCCUAAACCCUAAACCCUAAACCCUAAACCCUAAACCCUAAACCCUAAACUUUAAAUCCUAAACCCUAAACCCUAAACCCUAAACUCUAAACGCUAAACCCUAAAUCUUAAAUCCUAAACCCCACCCUUUAACUCUAAACCCUAAGUUUGUAACUUUUGAUAAAACAUUAAAUGUUAUUUUUGUGACUUUUGACCUUGAGUACUAGUUUGGGAACAAAAACUUGAUUUAGUGCUAUUUUUGUCAUUUUCUCAUAAAGAAAACCUAAAGUUAUAUAUAGAUUUACAAAUUGAUACAACACAAUAGGCAUGGAUCAUACAUUCUUUUUUAAAUAUGAAUAUAUAUUAAAAUUGACUCGUAUAAACAAGAAUUAGUUCCAGUUACAAGCUCGAUUCGAACAAAAUUUCUGAGUCUAUGUAUUACAACAACUAGCUUCGUCCGUCCAUUAAAUCUGGCACAAUCUGCUAGUGAGCUUUUAAUAAACUUUAGAAAUUGAUUCAUGUUCUCAACCGUCAACGAUGACCACGGAGAGUGAGGUUCUCCUCGUUACCUAGGACGUCAGCAGUCUCUAUGUCGUUUUCUGGACUAGCUAGGUCUCGAUGGACUCCUCAAAACUUAUAACCGUCACUUCCGUGACAUUGCGCUAAACAUUGUGAAGGAGAGGAAUGCCAAAGAUACUAACCGAUGGAAGCGCCCCGUAAAACCAGACUAUACACCACGCCUCCACCACCAACCCGGACCAAGAUGGGGACCGAAGUCCGCCAAGCCGAGCACGAGAAAAAGAAAAAUGGGCCUGAAAAGGCUGCUACUACCAGAGCCGGAAGGAGCUCUAAGACCUGCAAAGCAAGUGUUGCCGAGCAACAAUACCAUGAACAAAGAGAGUGCCCAUGGUAUACAUAUUUACCGUGUUCUAACGUAAAUUACCUUGAUUCGGAAUUUACAUUAGCUUUCGUAUUUGGUUCCAUAGCCACUAGUAAGGAUUAAUGGUAGAUAGCGACAGAGAUAUUUAACGCACCAGCAUAUUAUGUUAGGCAAACGUCAUGUUUUUAACAACUGUUCAACCUAUUUGUUUCAGUUCUGACUUUGUGUAUCACGACGAAUUACACUUUCAAUUAAUGAUGAAUAUAUUUUUGGGCAAAUCUCUAAAAUAGCACAUUUCUAAGUUUAUAUCAUAAAAAUAGCACUCAAAAACUAAAAUGACUAAAAUAGCACCUUUCUAAAUUUAUCCUUUGAAAAUUUUAAUUUUUUUAUUUUUCAAAAUUUGAAAUCUUAUCCCCAAAACCUCAUUUCUAAACUCUAAACCCUAAACUCUAAACCCUAAACCCUAAACCCUAAACCCUAAACUCUAAACCCUAAACUCUAAACUCUAAACUCUAAACCCUAAACCUUAAACCCUAAACACUAAAUCCUAAACCCCACCCUUUAAUUCUAAACCCUAAGUUUGUGACUUUUG